rnacentral:lncRNA from 1 species
GUAACUGGAGGCUCUGAGUGGCCAAGAGACAGCAGAGAAGAGCGAGAGGGACUUAUAUUCCACCAAGAAUCCUGCAAAAAGUGGAGCAUGCUUUUAGGAUAGACUGAAGAGCUAAAACAAAUGCAUCAAAGAAGACACUCUAAAAAUCUAUGAGAUGACAUCAUGUGUUCUGGCAAAAUCGUGGUUAAAUACAGAUAGGAGAAUGCAACCUGCAGCAGGAUCUUGCAACAUUAGACUUUCCUCCGCACACUGCAAUCGUGGCAGGGGCACCCUCUGUGGGAGGCCUGGUCUCAAGCUUGUGCUGCACCUGCUGGAAGGCUCCAUUGGAACACCCGUCUGCUGCUGCACCCCCUCCCUCACUGCUUCCCACUGGGAAACUGGGCUGAUAUUAAUUCAGAAAGAGAGUGGAUUACUUCAGAGGUUUCACUAGACUUUCCUCACUUUA